UCGGAGGUAAAUGCGAAUCGGCCAUGGAAGACGAUUCCUUGCAGAAGGUUGCGAUUUCAGGCCCAAUCUUAGCUUCUUUGAUCCAACGCUUCUCCUCCUCCUCCGGCGCCGUCGACGGCCUUCUUUUCGGUCAUGUCUCCGAUGUUACCCCUUUAUCCCUCUCUGAUGAUUCAUCUUCUUCAACCGACACCCAACCAUCACUGCGCGUCGCCACCGUCACCGGAUUUCUCUGCUCCGGUUCCACCAAUAGCUUUUACGACUCUCUUGGACGUGUAGAUUCACAAUCGCUUAACCGCCUUCUCGACCGACACCAGUCCGACGGUCAAGCUCAAGCUCAACCGCACGAUUCUUUGCUAGGUUGGUUUUCCGGCCGCCGUAGGACUCAGCUUCGACCUUCCAUGCGUGAAUACUUAGUGAGUUCCUCUUUAUCUUCGAUGAAGCAAUUGUCGUUUCCUGUUAAGGAUGCUGUGAAUCCCACCAAUCUAAUCCCUAGUGUGUUUCUGCUUCUUACUUCGCCGCUAUCCGAUCAAAUUAUCCACACACACGAAUACCGCGCUUUCCAAUUUCGGUCUUCCAAUGAGUUCUUUGAGCCGAAAUCGAUUGACAUUGUGAAUAUUGGGCCGGCAUUUCGUGGUCACUAUGGAUCGUUUAUCCCUAAUUCUCCUUUUCCCCAUUUGCUCUGCGAGAUGAGAGCUUCUCCGAUGAAUGAGGAUAAGAAUGAUGAUAAUUUGAAUAUGAUGAAGCAAAACUCGAAAUAUCAGAAGCAAAUGAAUGUGUGCGCUGAAGGAUUUGAUGUUGGGAACUUGACCCGUUUACUGGGUUCUGAGGCAGCAAAUUAUACUGCUGGGUUGGAGGAUUUAUACGAAAAAAUGCUUGCCAAGACUGAGAGCUUGGCGCGGCUUGUUGAGGAGAGCUCUGCUCAGGUUCUUGAGCAGGAAAACCACAACAGGAAGUUAAGAUAUAAAGUUGCGAGGUACCCUGGAUUUGAGUAAGAAAUUUGUUCAUACGUCCGACGUUUUUGUUCAUGGAUUGCAAGAAGUCAACCUUGGAACGGAACUGCAAACUUUUGGCAUCAAGACCUGAAUGCUGCAUGCUAUUGACAUGACAAUGGUGACUCUUUGAACUGUAUGGAGCUACAAGCAAUCCUGAGAAGUCUUAGGAAUGACCUUAAGUUUAGGCAGUUGUUUGUUUGGUGGAUAUCAUCAAAAGAUAGAAUGAGUUCCCUCACCUCCCUAUAGCGUCAUUCCCUACUUUUUGUGACUUGAAGAACCUACCCUGUUUGAUAUGAUUUCAUAUAUUCCAUACAAAGUGUUCCGUUAUUGAUUGGACUCCGUAUCAAUGUUGCUACUUCUAAGUUUCUUUUAGUGACUUCACAGAUUCCAUUUAGGGAAAAGCUUGUAGAUACUUUCCAGCUCUAAGGUUCUUGUGUAUUGAUCUCUAGUAUUCAUUGGGAUUUUGAAAAGAAUAAAGAAUACUUGAAGAUCUCUCUCAAAUCAUGAUCAGAUAAGAACCAAUAUGUGGAUGAAAGGGUAUGUAGUGAGAUUUAUUUUGAGGGUAUUUGAUUGCUUGAAAGAAACAAGCUCCCUUUUUCCUCA